GAUGCCUGUUACUAGCAUUCACAUGGAACAAAAUGCUGCUGUGGGAGGAUGACAAAGAAGCAUGAGUCACCCUGCUGGAUAAACUUAGACUUCAGACUUUAUCAUUUUUUAAUCUGUUAAUCAUAAUCUGGCUACUGGGAUAUUCCACCGUAAAUUUUAAGAAUAAGGUCAUUUAAAAGAUUUAUCAGCAGUAUUCCAAGUGCAAAAUUGUUCACUUUAAUCUUCUAGUUCACGUAUUUUUCUCUUUAAUAGAAAAUGCAUGUGCAUCACUUUUAAUUCAAAGUUACGGUUGGUUUGCUGUAACUCUUCAUAAGCAAUUUUAAUGACUCUACUAGAACAUAGGCUAAAUAUAUUAUAAAACAAAUUUAUUUAUCUUUAUAGUUAAAAAUUAGAAGGAAUACUAUUCUCCAGUUACAUCAUGGAUUGUCUUGAAACAUUUUUAAAGGAUUUGGAAAUUGGCAUUUUCCCCCGGUAACAAUUUCUGAUAUAAACAUCUUUUGUUUGAAUCUGAAGGGGAAAUUGAAGUGAUGCUAAAUGUUUUUUAAAUAAAAUAUUAUAAUAAGUAACAUGGUGAUAUCUGAGAAGUAUGCACCUGUUUUUUCCCUAUAAGAUAUAAAUAUUUAAUUUGAAAUUUUUCAUAUUGGAAAUCAGGUCCCAAAUCUAGGUUCAAGUUCAAUAGCUUAGACAUAUAAUAAUGUUGUCGAGUUAGAGAAUCAGUCUUUCCAUUCUAGUCCUGUUUCUUCAUCCAUAGAAUGGGGAUAAAACUUACAAGGUAGGUGUGAGGCUUACACGAAAUACAGAACUAUUGUGUAAGAUAACAAAGUAUACAACCAACAUUGAAAUAAAAUUAAUAUGAGAUGAGUUCCCCUACUUUGUUAGAGAAAAGCCAAUGACUUGAUUUACAGAAUUCUUAAGGUUUGGAUAUAUAUGCAGUUUUUCCCAUAACUAAUUAUAUCACUUACAAAUAUAUAGUCAAUGUAAUUGUUAGCACAUUUUGUACUUAACACUUUUCAACAUUUUGUCAUUCAGUGUAAC
rnacentral:lncRNA from 1 species